CGAGUUGGCCGAACAGUCGCCGUUUUACCUUGCGUAAAAGGGAGGAAAGUCCGGGCUCCACAGGGCAGGGUGCCAGGUAAUGCCUGGGAGGCGCGAGCCUACGGAAAGUGCCACAGAAAAUAUACCGCCAGGUU
rnacentral:RNase_P_RNA from 1 species